AUGAUGGAGACGUCGCCGCGGAAGGAAGUGGGCAGCGGCUUGGUUCGUCCGGAGGCGGUGGCUUCUGUUGCGUCGGCACGAAUCGGAACGGAAGGAAGCCGGAACCGGAUCCUCUGCCGUGCUGUUAAGCACGGCAGGGUGCCGUGCCUCAUUGUGGCGCUAGUGGACGCAGGCAUAUGGGCCUUGCCAAAAACCAAUGCGAUCUCAUCUGCCGGCGGGAGGUUUUUGCAAUCUCCGACAGGGAUAUUUUCACCUCUGUACCCAAGCACGGCUAGGGACCUUGGGUUUCUGCGGGUACCUCAUCCGAUGGCGGCGGCGACUGGCUCAACGUCGCGAUCGGGACGGACGGAGGAGGAAGAUCUAGAGGAGAUGCUCAAGAAUAUGGAGCUUAUGGAUGAAGAGCUAGACGACGUAAUCAUCGGGAAGGAAAAAGCCCAGCAGUUCAAAGAGGAAUCUAGAUGGUUGGCGAUCGCAAGGGUCAACACUGAUCGGCCGUUUAGUUCGUCGUCCUUUUUCGAUACCAUGAAGUUUGUCUGGGGCUUAGCACAAACGCCCAAAUUCAGAGAAGCGGGUGAGAAUAGAUUCAUAUUUCAGAUGUUUUGUUUGGGAGAUUGGAAGAAAGUGGUUCAUGGUGGUCCGUGGCUUUUCCGUAACUACGCGGUGGUCAUUGAGGACUACGACGGGGUCACAGACCCAGAAGAAUAUGUGUUGGACGGCCUGUAUGUAUGGGCGCAGAUUCAUAAAGUCCCCGACCUGUACCGCCAACCAGAGGUUGUGGAUGAGUUGGCUCGAAGAAUUGGCAAGGUAAGGGAGGUGCAGCUCCGCCCUUCUCUGUACUUCGAGGGCGAUUAUGUCAGGGUUAGGGUUCGUGUUCUCACUGCUAAACCUUUGACAAGAUUCGUUCCUCUGUCUGUGGAGGGAGAAGGGAGACGUAUGCUAGUGGUGAAAUAUGAAAAAAUUCCUUUUUUCUGCAAGGUCUGUGGCCUCAUGGGACAUGGAUUUGAGGAGUGUGGCAAUGGGGUGUGGAACGAAACUGACAAGAAGUGGGGGAGCUGGAUGAUUGCCAAGCGUAGAGAGGUUCAGUACUCACAGCCCAGGGAAGGGAGACCCUUCUUCAGGGGAGGUCGGAGCAGAGGUGGAACGAGAGGUAGGGGUCGUGAUACAGCCCAAAGAGGAGGGGACCCAGCAAGAAACACAUCCAGCGAACAAGAAGAACGCGAGCCCGCUUGGGAGACUCAGGAUGGGACUGCAGAUCCUGAAGGUCUUGCUGCUAUGGCGUUCAGAACCAACAACAAAAGAAAUUCAGUGGAUAGUGCUCUGCCACCAGUUACCAGGGUCCAGGAUCCUCCUACUUUUGUUGGUGAGGGUACUUUAGCCGUUGCUGGAAAAACACCUUUAGGCGUUCCUCCAAUGCCCCCGGUAUAUGUGUCACCAAGGAAAGUUAACAAAAGGUCCAAGCAGGGGGAUCAUUUGGCGGAGAAGGCAGCAGGCAAGGGAGAAAAGGCAAAAAAUGGUAUAUCGGCGGGCUCCUCCGGGGAUUUGGUUUUCGUCGAUCUGUCGACAGGCGAGUACCAGUUGAACUCACGUGUGUUGGCACUGAGAUGA
rnacentral:rRNA from 1 species